UAGCUCAUAAACCUCUUCCUGUGGCCUGAAGCACUAACAUUCCCAUACCUAGCUGGAAGAUCAGCUUUAGCCACUUAAAAGAUUACCCAGUGGAGACAUAAUCUGGGCUGCCCAUGCUGCCAAGGGAUAUAAACCUUUGCUCAUUCAGUGCAAUGGGAUAAUCAGUAACUGAACAAACCGGCAGAUGUGAGGUCUGGAGUGUUUUCCCCAGCCCACACAAAGACUGAACAACACAGCUCUUCUGUUGUCUGCCUUGUGAAAAUAGACCUCGAGUUCAAGGCUGUGUACAGUGGUUGGAUUUUUCUCAAGCCAUUGGAGUUCCAGCCAUUGCAGAGAUCUGUGUGCUGCUACAAACACCCACAGUCUUGGCACUGAAACCUCAAGUUAUUGUAAAUCAAGAUCCUCCUUUCACUGAGGUAAUGAAGAACUGGUAAACUCAGCAUUUCAUGGUGUUUGAUCCAUAUUCUACUGCAGAAUGUACCAGCUACCAGCCUACAGUGCCAUGGACCGACCCAUGUGAUGUUUCCUUCCUUUUCCCAGAACUAUAAUGCAUGAGAAGUCCUCACAAGGAAAGAAGUGGUCUUCCUUUACUUCAAAUAUUUAAGCUCAGCCUGGAUGACUAACACACGUGCUCUAAGCCUGGCUCAAAGGGAAAUUAUGGCUUCAAUUCCUGACUACUCUUCUGUGGCUUGUUAUCUGUUCUGGAUUUGACAGAGGGCCCUGUGAAAAAGUUGUGGGUAAAAUCCUGUGUCACAGCAGCAGAGUUUCUAUUGCAUGGGAGCCUUGACUUCUGAAGAUAUUUUUGGGCAAUGUCUUUAUGCAUUCAUCCUGUACAUGUGCCUCAGUCAACCCUUCCUGACAUAUUUACCAUGCCAUGUGGAUGUUGUCUCCACAGAGGAAAUCUCAACAUCAUCCAAGGAAUACACCAUCUUUUCUAUGAGAGAAGGAUCUAAUAUUUCAUUGCCUCACAUCUAGAAUUGAAAAAGCAGUAUUUCCAAACUGCUGUGGAGUAUGAAUUGAGGGUGACUUCUAAUGGAUGGCUGCUCUACAUGAAGCUGGGAGUUAAACCUUCAAUGAAAUGUAGUUUUACCAUAGAAUCUUUCCCUUUCCAUCUGUUCCUUGGAUUUAGAUUUCUAGUGUUUCAUUGUGUUCAUAUUAUCAUGCAGCACUAUGUCUGGCGUAGGUAUUAAAAUGUCUGGGUGUGCAGGUUCCAUAAUCCUAAUGCUGGCUUCAUCUUUCAUGGGUUGUAAUACUUGGUUUGCUGUAUUUUUUUAUUGUUACCACUGUAAUUGUGUUGUGAGGGCCCUUACUCCAGCUCUGGCUUGUUAAAUAAAUAGAACAUAUCCUUGUGUCUCAUGCCUCCGCGUCUGGAAGGGAUUUAAACCUCUUCUUUUGUCUGUAUAUUUUGGCUGAGCUAAGAAUUUCUCUUGAAAGACCCUGCAAGUUUCAGGGUAUGUGUGUAUUAUACAGAGUUUGCUUUCAUUAAGUUGUGCAUUAUUACAGCUUUGUUUGUGUUUGGGGUGUUGAGAAUCACAGAGGCCAGUUCCUUUUAAACACUAAAGAGUACAAAUACCCAGGAAUAUGCAUCUUGAUUGAUGCAGCUGCCACUGCGGUUCACAUGUGGUGUAAGUCUACGCUGUUGUGUUUCCUAAACAGCGGGUUUCAUAGACUGUAUCAUCUCAUGGUGGCAUCUG